CCGGCUGCUUUCAGGGCCCGCUGACCGGCUCUGCCCGCUCACCCCUGGCCGCCUAUCUUAGCGUUCCUGGGGAUGGGGCCCCUUAGGCCGCCUUUCUGAUUUUCCUUUCCAGAGCCAAAUUCGUGUAUUUCUUCAACACUCCGACUUGACCUAUGCCGAUGACUGGGGGAGUGAGGACGGAGGGGUACAGAGAAAAGGCAGCCAGGCGCAAACACGUUGACCUAUCGCCAUCUCUUAGCUUCUCCACGCCGGGCCACCCCUGUCCUUCAUCCUGAUGGUGACAGCGUCCACUCCCGCCUCUGCCAAGCGGUGGUCCAGGUGCGGAACGGUGGCUCUGAACAGGAGGGACAGGCAGCUCCCUGCGCCUCUCCAGCCAGGAGGCAGGCAGGGGAUAGAUAAACAACGAGCCACAUAACGUCUGGUGGUGAAAUGAUUUCCAUCAAUGGGAGGGUGUCAUAUUUGAACUGAAACUCUAAAUGACAAGAAACACCUAUGUCUACAAAGAUGGGGGAGGAGGCAGGGCUUUCUGGAGAGCAGAAAUGGCAGGUGCAAAGGUCCUGGGGCUGGCGCUGUGGGCUGGAGGGGAGGCAGGGGCCAAAUAUUCAGGUCUUGUAGGCCAAGGCAAGGAGUUUAGGUAUUAUUUAAAUGUUAUUCCAAAACCAAUUCUUUCUGAGACAGGGUCCCACUCUGUCACCCAGGCUACAGUGCAGUGGCACAAUCUCGGUUCACUGCAGCCUUCACCUUCUGGCCUCAGGCAAUCCUCCUGCCUCAGCCUCUCAAGUAGCUGGGACCACAGGUGCAUGCCACCACGCCCGGCUAAUUUUUUAAAUUAUUUGUAGAGACCAGGUCUCCCUAUGUUGCCCAGGCUGGUCUCGAACCGCUGGGCUCAAGCAGUCUUCCCACCUUGGCUUCCCAAAGAGCUGAGAUUACAGGUGUGAACCACCACGCCUGGUCCAAAAAGAAUUUUAAACCUGGGAAUUAUAUGAUCUAAUUUACUUCUUUAAAAAGUCACCCCUCCACUCCAUGGAAAAUGGGCUGCAGGAGUAGAAGCCAGCAGACAGGUGGCACUGCAGGGCACCGGGGGACAGGAUGGUGGCUCAGAUUGCAGGGGCUGCUCAGCGAGAAGUGGAAGGACUUCAGAGAGAUGUGGAGGCAAAACCCACAGGCUUGCUGAUGAAUGAAACGGGUGGAGGUGUGUGAUGCGAUACUCAAAGGCAAGUCUCUGUGUGGAGAUUGAACAGCUGCUCUGCUGAGAUGCAGAGGGCCAGGGAGGAGGCCAGCUUGGAAACAGCAUCGAAAGCGGCAGCUUAGUGAAUUGGAUAAGCCGGCCAGCUUGAGAUAGAUGUUUGGGGGCAGCUGCUUGGAGAGCUUUGUCCAGGGACGCGGCUCCCGUCCAUCUGGUCAAGUGUGGACACGCUCCAGCUGGACUUGGGGCAGCUCCUAUCUAGGCAGCCCGUCCCAUGCUGACAUUGCAGAGGUGGGAGCUACACAAAGAGAAUCUUGCAGUUUGUAGGUGACCUACCUCCACAGGGGUUUUCUCAGAGACCAGAGUUUCAAGUGCAUCACAGCUGCCCAAAACUGCUGAGGUUGCAAGGCCCCAGAAGGAAGCCCUCCUGCACCCUCCCCUCCCACCUCCAGGGAGAAGCUGGCCUGGGAAGAAGUCUACCCUAUGGGGAAAGGCUUUCCAGGAAGCCAGUCCAACUUCAGGCCACUUAAGUUUAUUUUUUGUGUAAAAUAAGUCCAUUAUUCAAAUGUGGAGAUGGGAGGUCUGAAAAUACAGGUCAAUUCAACUCAAAGCCCUCAUUCUGAAAAUGAUGAGCCUGGGGGCCCAGCAGGGCUAGGGUCAGCUCUGAUGAGCAGGGUCUGGCUGGAUUCAGAGCAAAUUAGGUCCUGCUGCUGCCCAGCCUACCACCUCGGGGAAGGCCAAGGGUUGGGGGGAGCCUUUUGUACAAACAAGCAAUGACAAGAAAACACUCACUAGAUCACAGUGCACUCCCAGGCGAUAAACGAAACUGGACUUUCCAGAGCCCUGGCGCUUUUCAUCCGGCACUGGCUGGAGUCCCCCUGGGAGGGCCCUUGGCUGUGCUGUGGGCAACCAGGCCUGACUGAGCGGUGACUCAGCCAGGAGAGCUGAGGCGAUCCCCCCUGGCCAAUCCCAGGACCUAGCUGCACUCGGAAGAGGAGAAGGAACUCUGGGGAUGAGUAAUCUUGCUCUAGCUGACUGGAGGAGGAAGGAGGGGCUGAGUACCGCCUCAGCAAAGCCAGCACAAGCAUCCUGAUUCUAGAGGCUCAGUUUCACAAUCCGGGAAAUGGGCUGCAGGUGCACUGACACAGAUCUGCUUUGAGGAUGAAAAAGGUAUCAUGGAAAGCUGCUGUCAUAGUUGUGGGGUUGGAAGAUUUUUCAAUUCUAAAACCCCGUAAGUUGAGGAGUGGCCAUUCCCAGAAGGAUCUGUUCACUGCUGAGCCCAGCUGGUGACAGUAGCUGUUGUAUCCCGAGAACUCUGAAGCUGCCCAGAUCAACCACCUGCACAGGCCCAGAAUACCCGAGGCAAGUGUCUCUCAAGAAUGAAAAUGACCAGGCCAUCCUCAUGUUCUACAGGGGUUAACCCAGCAACUUAGGGACACAGCUGGGGCAGGACUCCCGGGCUCCUGGUCAGUUCCUCUAUGGGGAUGCUAAGCCUCAGGGCUGACAUCUCUUAGCUCUGCCUUCCAGGAGAAUUUCAUAGGGGCUCCCAUUUGUGCUGCUGUGAAGGCCGUCCUGCUCCUUGUCAAGCCUGUCUUCUCCUUGCCUUGAGGAAGAUCUCUUUCGUGCCCAAAUUGUGAAUAAGUAAACUGGAUGCAGCAUCUCUGAUUGCUCUGGGAAGAAAUUUAUGAGAAGUGCCUGAGAAAAGUCAUGACUUUGUGCCUCUGCUAAGCAACCUGUUGGACACUGCUUGGUAUAUACCACUAAGUGGUUCCUUGUUCAGACCUGCUUCCUCUGAUUAGCAGCCACAGAUCUUCUGGGUUUUCACUUGUUUAUUUCUGUUUAUUGUCAUCUCUGGGAAGAUGGCUUCAAAUUUGUUAUCCCCCAAUUUAACCUCAUAUCAAUUGAUAAGAAGAUCUUUUCUUUCUUUCUUUCUUUCUAUUUCUUUUCUUUUCUUUCUUUCUUCUUUUUUUUUUUUUUUUUGAGAUAGGGCCUCACUCUGUCACCCAGGCUGGAGUGCAGUGAGGCGAUCUUGCCUCACUGCAGCCUCCACCUACCAGGUUCAAGCAAUCCUCCUGCCACAGCCUCCCAAGUAGCUGGGACUACAGAUGAGUCCCACCACACCCAGCUAAUUUUUGUAUUUUUUUUAUAGAGACUGGGUUUUGCCAUGUUGCCCAUGCUUGUCUGGAACUCCUGAGCUCAAGUGAUCUGCCUGCUUCGACCUCCCAAAGUGCUGGGAAGUUAUAAUUGGAGGAUGUGAUGGUUAAUUUUUGUGUCAACUUGACUGGGUUAAGGGAUACCCAGAUAGCUGGUACAGCAUUGUCUCUGGGGAUGUCUUCGAGUGUGUUUCUGGUAGAGGUUGGCAUUUGGAUCAGUGACCUGAGUGAGGAAGGAAGAUUCAUCCUCACCCAUGUGGGCUGGGCUCCAUCCAAUCAGUUGAAUUCCUCAAUAGAACAAAAGGCCCGAGGAAAGGCAAAUUCACUCCCUUUUCUGAAACUGGGACACCCCCCUUCUCCUGCGCUUGGACAUCAGCACUCCAGGCUCUCCAGCUGUUGGACUCCAGGACCUGCACCGGUGGCCUCUCAGGUUCUUAGGCCUUUGCACUCAGACUGAGCUAUGUCACCAGCAUCCCUGGUUCUCUAGCUUGCAGACAGCAAAUCAUAGGACUUCUCAGCCUCCAUAAUCAUGUGAGCCAAUUUCCAAAUUAAAUCCCCUCAUUUAUCUAUAUCUGUAUCUAUCUUAUUUGGUUGUUUCUCUGGAGAAUCCUGAUACAAAGGGUUUACAUUGAAUGUCAUUUGCAUAUGGUUAUAUAAAUAGUAGCUGUUUUAACACCCUCGUCUAAUUCUAUCAUGAAUAUCAUUUCUGGAUCUGUUUAUAUUGAUUGAUUUUUCUCCAGAUCCUAGGUCAUAUUAUCCUGCUUCUUUGCAAGCCCAGUAUUUUUGUUUGGACACGGGACAUCGUCAGUUUUGUACUGUUGGUGGCUAGAUUUGAUUAUAUUCCUUUAAACAGUUUUGUGCUUUGUUCUGAGAUGCAGUAAAGUUACUUAAGAUUAGUUUGAUCUUUUUGAGGUUUGAUGUUCAACAUUGCCACGGCAGAUCCAGAACAGCCUUUGUUCUAGGACUAAUUUGUCACCUCUUUGAGGCAAUUCUCUUCUACUUUUCUCCUCGAUGUCCUGAAUUUUAGGGGGUCUUCCCAGUCUGGCUGAUGGAAAAUUUAGUUUUUGUUACAUAAAAUUUACCUCAAAACUUAGCAGCUUGAAACAAGUAUUUAUUCCCUGAAGUUUCUUGUGUCAGGAAUCCAGGAGUGGCCCAGCUGGGGGCUCUAACUCAAGCUCUCUCGUGAGGUCUCAGUCAAGGUAUGGCUGGAGUGGAGCCCUCUGACUGGGGCCAAAGGAUCUGCCUCCAGGACGGUGACUCACAUGGCUAUAGCCAGGGGCUCCAUUUCUUGCCUCAUGGACCUGUCCGGAGGCUGAUUGAGCAAUACAGCUUCUGGCUUCCCCAGAGGGGCUGAUCCAAGAGAGAGCAAGCAGGAGCCACAAGGCUUUCUACACCCUAGUCUCUAAAGUCACAAACCAUCACCAUCACUUUCACCACAUUCUGUCCUUUAGAAGCAUAUUAGCAAGCCCAGCCCACAUUCAAGGGGGGUAGGAGUAGGUGCCUCUUUUUGAAAGGAAGACUAUCAGAUAAUUUAGGGAUCUAUUUCUAAGCUGCUCUCACAGACAUACAAUAUCCCCAGGCCUGAGUGAUUUCUGGAGACCGUUCUGCCUGCAAGCUCCUUCCUUGGUGGUUUCCUCACAUUCAUGUGCAGACCAGUACUCAGCUGAAGACUCAAGGCACUCCUUGCAGAUCUCUGAACCAUUCUCUGUGGCUCCUUCUGCAGAUCUCUGCCCUGCAAAUUCUAGCUCCCUUGGCCUCCCGGAAGCCCACACUCCAUCUCCUGAGCUGGGCAGGCCCUCAGGCUCUGUUUGGGCUCCCUCUUCCGGCACUGCUGAGCUGGACACUUGUGAGGCUGGUCUUAUUGCUUCCCCUCUCCCAGGAAUCCCUGUCCUGUUCUGCCUAUUGUCCAGUGUCCACUAACUGUGAUUUCAGAUACUUGUCCAGCUUUCUGGCUGUUUUUAAGACAGGAGGGUAAACCUGCUCCCUGUUGUUCCAUCAGGACCAGAAGAGGGACUCCCCAGCAGCGGUGCUGGCUCCUGAAAAUCAUGCAGCAGAGGAGAGACUCACACGCUCCCCUCUUCUUCUUCUUUUUUUUUUUUUUAAUUAUACCUUAAGUUCUGGGAUGCAUGUGCAGAAUGUGCAGGUUUGUUAUAUAGGUAUACACAUGUCAUGGUGAUUUGCUGCACCCAUCAACUCAUCAUCUACAUUAGGUGUUUCUCUUAAUGCUAUCCCUCCCCUAGCCCCCCACUCCCCAAUAGGCCCCAGUGUGUGAUGUUCCCCUUCCUGUGUCCAUGUGUUCUCAUUAUUCAACUCCCACUUAUGAGCAAGCACAUGUGGUGUUUGGUUUUCUGUUCCUGUGUUAAUUUGCUGAGAAUGAUGGCUUCCAGCUUCAUCUAUGCCCCUACAAAGGACAUGAACUCAUCUUUUUUAUGGCUGCAUAGUAUUCCAUGGUGUAUAUGUGCCACUUUUUCUUUAUCCAGUCUAUCAUUGAUGGGCAUUUGGGUUGGUUCCAAGUCUUUGCUAUUGUAAAAAGUGCUGCAAUAAACAUACAUGUGCAUGUGUCUUUAUAG